rnacentral:rRNA from 1 species
UNNACGUACUGCUCGUACACGUGGACACCUACCCUCCGGACAGGUAUAAACCCGGGAAACUGGGUAUAAUCCCCGAUAGAUCUCGGUCGCUGGAAAGCCCCGAGAUCGAAAGCUCCGGCGCCAGAGGAUGGGUCUGCGGCCUAUCAGGUAGUAGUGGGUGUAGCGUACCUACUAGCCUACGACGGGUACGGGUUGUGAGAGCAAGAGCCCGGAGAUGGAUUCUGAGACACGAAUCCAGGCCCUACGGGGUGCAGCAGGCGCGAAAACUUUACAAUGCCGGCAACGGCGAUAAGGGGACCUCGAGUGCCAGGUUACAAAUCUGGCUGUCGUGAUGCCUAAAAAGCAUUGCAUAGCAAGGGCCGGGCAAGACCGGUGCCAGCCGCCGCGGUAACACCGGCGGCUCGAGUGGUAACCGUUAUUAUUGGGUCUAAAGGGUCUGUAGCCGGCCAGAUAAGUCUCUUGAGAAAUCCAGCAGCUCAACUGUUGGGCUUUCAGGAGAUACUGUCUGGCUCGAGGCCGGGAGAGGUGAGAGGUACUUCAGGGGUAGGGGUGAAAUCUUGUAAUCCUUGAAGGACCACCAGUGGCGAAGGCGUCUCACCAGAACGGACCUGACGGCAAGGGACGAAAGCUAGGGGCACGAACCGGAUUAGAUACCCGGGUAGUCCUAGCCGUAAACGAUACUCGCUAGGUGUCGGCCACGGUGCGACCGUUGUCGGUGCCGUAGGGAAGCCGUGAAGCGAGCCACCUGGGAAGUACGGCCGCAAGGCUGAAACUUAAAGGAAUUGGCGGGGGAGCACCACAACGGGUGGAGCUUGCGGUUUAAUUGGAUUCAACGCCGGAAAUCUUACCGGGACCGACAGCAAUAUGAAGGCCAGGCUGAAGACUUUGCCGGAUUAGCUGAGAGGUGGUGCAUGGCCGUCGUCAGUUCGUACUGUGAAGCAUCCUGUUAAGUCAGGCAACGAGCCGAGACCCGA